GCCUGGCUGGUUCCGUUGGUAGAGCAUGGGACUCUUGAUCCUGGGGUUGUGAGUUCAAGCCCUAUGUUGGGUG
rnacentral:tRNA from 1 species